rnacentral:rRNA from 1 species
AGUUGUAGAAUCACUGGUGAAUAAGGGGUGGGCAAGUUCUGGUGUCAGCCGCCGCGGUAAAACCAGCACCUCGAGUGGUCAGGAGGUUUAUUGGGCCUAAAGCAUCCGUAGCCGGUUGCAUAAGUUUUCGGUUAAAUCUAUGCGCUUAACGUAUAGGCCGCCGAAAAUACUGUGCAGCUAGGGAGUGGGAGAGGUACACGGUACUCGAUAGGAAGGGGUAAAAUCCUUUGAUCUAUUGAUGACCACCUGUGGCGAAGGCGGUGUACCAGAACACGUUCGACGGUGAGGGAUGAAAGCUGGGGGAGCAAACCGGAUUAGAUACCCGGGUAGUCCCAGCUGUAAACGAUGCAGACUCGGUGAUGCAUUGGCUUGUGGCCAAUGCAGUGCCGCAGGGAAGCCGUUAAGUCUGCCGCCUGGGAAGUACGUACGCAAGUAUGAAACUUAAAGGAAUUGGCGGGGGAGCACCACAAGGGGUGAAGCCUGCGGUUCAAUUGGAGUCAACGCCAGAAAUCUUACCUGGGGAGACAGCAGAAUGAAGGUCAAGCUGAAGACUUUACCAGACACGCUGAGAGGUGGUGCAUGGCCGUCGCCAGCUCGUGCCGUGAGAUGUCCUGUUAAGUCAGGUAACGAGCGAGACCCCUGCGUCUAGUUGCUACCAUUACUCUCUGGAGCAGUGGAGCGAAUUAGACGGACCGCCACAGUUAAUGUGGAGGAAGGAAGGGGCCACGGCAGGUCAGUAUGCCCCGAAACCCUAGGGCUACACGCGGGCUGCAAUGGUAUUGACAUGUGUUCCGAAUCCGAAAGGAGGAGGCAAUCAUCAAACAAUAUCUCAGUUAUGACUGAGGGC